rnacentral:piRNA from 1 species
UGGCAAUUAUCUUUUUGCACAAAGGACUGG